CCCACCCCUACGCUCUCAUCACCCGAGUACCCCCGCGAUUCUAUUCGCCGCAAGGGAGUGAGAGGUUUAAAAAAAAAGAAAAAAGAAAAAAGAGAGAGAGACCAGAGGGAGAGAAAGGAAACGAAGAUGGCAAUGGCGACUGCUCUCCGCAGGCUCUCAUCCUCGGCCGUGAGGAGGCAGCCGCUCUCGCGGAGCUCUCUCUAUUACAUGUCUUCUCUGCCCGACGAAGCAGUAUACGAGAAAGAGAAAUCUCGCGUCGUCUGGCCGAAGCAGCUGAAUGCUCCUCUGGAAGCGGUGGAUCCGGAGAUCGCCGACAUCAUUGAGCUUGAGAAAGCCAGGCAAUGGAAGGGACUCGAGCUAAUCCCUUCGGAGAAUUUUACAUCAGUCUCUGUGAUGCAAGCUGUAGGAUCUAUCAUGACAAACAAAUACAGCGAGGGGUAUCCUGGUGCAAGAUACUAUGGUGGAAAUGAGUACAUUGACAUGGCAGAAUCCUUGUGUCAGAAGCGUGCACUAGAAGCUUUUCGUUUAGACCCAGCCAAAUGGGGAGUGAAUGUUCAAUCGCUGUCUGGAUCUCCUGCUAACUUUCAAGUAUAUACUGCACUUUUGAAGCCACACGAGAGAAUCAUGGCACUUGAUCUUCCUCACGGUGGACAUCUUUCUCAUGGUUACCAGACGGAUACCAAGAAGAUAUCUGCUGUUUCUAUAUUUUUUGAGACAAUGCCUUACCGGUUAAAUGAGAGUACCGGCUACAUAGAUUAUGAUCAGUUGGAGAAAAGUGCUGCUCUCUUCAGACCUAAACUGAUAGUUGCUGGAGCUAGUGCAUAUGCCCGCCUCUAUGACUAUGCUUAUAUUCGUAAGGUGUGCGACAAGCAGAAAGCUAUACUUCUGGCAGACAUGGCACAUAUCAGCGGACUGGUUGCAGCUGGUGUAAUUCCAUCUCCUUUCGAGUAUGCAGAUGUAGUAACUACUACAACUCAUAAGUCACUUCGUGGACCACGUGGAGCCAUGAUCUUUUUCAGGAAGGGAGUGAAAGAGAUAAACAAACAAGGGAAAGAGGUUUUGUAUGACUUUGAAGAUAAGAUUAAUGCUGCCGUCUUCCCUGGUCUUCAAGGUGGUCCUCAUAAUCAUACAAUUGCUGGAUUAGCUGUUGCUCUGAAACAGGCAACUACUCCAGAGUACAGAGCUUAUCAAGAGCAAGUGCUUAGUAACUGUGCAAAAUUUGCUCAGCGCUUGACUGCGAAAGGCUAUGAACUUGUUUCUGGUGGAACGGAGAACCAUCUAGUCUUGGUGAACUUGAAGAACAAGGGAAUAGAUGGGUCCAGGGUUGAAAAGGUGCUGGAACUGGUUCACAUUGCAGCUAACAAGAACACUGUUCCUGGUGAUGUGUCAGCCAUGGUACCUGGAGGCAUUAGGAUGGGGACCCCGGCUCUCACAUCAAGAGGAUUUCUUGAAGAGGACUUUGCAAAAGUUGCCGACUUUUUUGAUAAUGCCGUUAACAUAGCAUUGAAGAUCAAGGCUGAAACCAAAGGAGGAUCAAAGUUAAAGGACUUUCUAGCCACCAUCCAAACAGACGCAAACAUCCAAUCUGAGAUUGCAAAGCUACGUCAUGAAGUAGAGGAGUAUGCAAAGCAGUUCCCAACUAUUGGAUUUGAUAAGGAGACUAUGAAAUACAAAAACUGAGAAAUGAAUCGUAUUGAGCAAGGGGGAAGUGAGAGCAAGAAAAGACAUUAUGCCUUAGUUGUACUCCUGCUGCUGCCUGAAUUCAAGCCACCUUCUAGCAAAAUUUCUUGAUUGCAUCUGCACUUACUGGUUUCUACUAAUUCAAAAGAGAAGCUGUGGUGGCUUGCUAGUCCUACACAACUAGAAGUUCAAGGGGUGAAGUGAACUACGUUAAAGCUAAAACAAAUGUACAAUAAAGACUGCUAUAUUAGAAUAUGGAACCUUGUGAUCUGAUUUCUUGUUGAGCUCUACAUAUGUAUAUACAUUUGGAUCUAUCCUUAAUCGGUACUGGAACAGUUUCAUUGCCGUCUAAAGUUGUAAAAAUGCCGUUCAAGCUUAUCGGCAGUUUUCAAGGCUUUCAUAUGGGUUUAUUAUUUA